rnacentral:rRNA from 1 species
ACGGGGGCCCGCACAAGCGGUGGAUUAUGUGGAUUAAUUCGAUGCAACGCGAAAAACCUUACCUAGCCUUGACAUGUACGGAACUUUCUAGAGAUAGAUUGGUGCCUUCGGGAACCGUAACACAGGUGCUGCAUGGCUGUCGUCAGCUCGUGUCGUGAGAUGUUGGGUUAAGUCCCGCAACGAGCGCAACCCUUGCCAAUAAUUGCCAUCAUUUAGUUGGGCACUUUAUUGGGACUGCCGGUGACAAACCGGAGGAAGGUGGGGAUGACGUCAAGUCCUCAUGGCCCUUAUGGCUAGGGCUUCACACGUAAUACAAUGGUCGGUACAGAGGGUAGCCAACCCGCGAGGGGGAGCCAAUCCCAGAAAGCCGAUCGUAGUCCGGAUUGUUCUCUGCAACUCGAGAGCAUGAAGUCGGAAUCGCUAGUAAUCGUGGAUCAGAAUGCCACGGUGAAUACGUUCCCGGGCCUUGUACACACCGCC